GAUGAACGCUGGCGGCGUGCCUAAUACAUGCAAGUCGAGCGAACAGACGAGGAGCUUGCUCCUCUGACGUUAGCGGCGGGCGGGUGAGUAACACGUGGAUAACCUACCUAUAAGACUGGGAUAACUUCGGGAAACCGGAGCUAAUACCGGAUAAUAUAUUGAACCGCAUGGUUCAAUAGUGAAAGACGGUUUUGCUGUCACUUAUAGAUGGAUCCGCGCCGCAUUAGCUAGUUGGUAAGGUAACGGCUUACCAAGGCAACGAUGCGUAGCCGACCUGAGAGGGUGAUCGGCCACACUGGAACUGAGACACGGUCCAGACUCCUGCGGGAGGCAGCAGUAGGGAAUCUUCCGCAAUGGGCGAAAGCCUGACGGAGCAACGCCGCGUGAGUGAUGAAGGUCUUCGGAUCGUAAAACUCUGUUAUUAGGGAAGAACAAAUGUGUAAGUAACUAUGCACGUCUUGACGGUACCUAAUCAGAAAGCCACGGCUAACUACGUG
rnacentral:rRNA from 1 species